rnacentral:tRNA from 1 species
AGGUUCGUAGCUCAGUGGUAGAGUUGUUGCCUUACAAGCAAUCUGUCAUCGGUUCGAAUCCGAUCGAGCCUA